CUUGCCAGUCAACAUGAAAAACUUCUUCUAAUGGAAUCCAGCUUGAAAGCUGCUCAAGAACAGCUAACUGAGCAAAUAGCAGAGACAGUUCGCCAAGAAGAGAACAGUUGAAAAGCCCAGGCAGAGCUGAAGACAGUGGCAGAAGGGAUUAUUGCUUCUAAAGAAGAAAAAAAUGAUUACAAGCAACAGGACUUGAUGAUCAAUUCAAGGUAGAAUACAAAAGAACAAGGACCAUCCCAGAUGGCAGGAAACAAGAGGAGAAGGAUGAAGCUAUCAUUGCGUAUGAUGGCCAAGACCUGGAGGAGAAGAUUUGGGAAGAAAAAUUCUGGAACCUGGCUUUGGACAAGUUGAGUUCGGCGUGGCUAUCAGAUAUUCAUGUUGAGAUUCUGCUAGGGAAUUGUCUACCAAGAAUGGACUGGAUGUGGAAGUCUGAAAUUGAGAUAUAAAUUGAGCAUCAUUAGACUAUUAAUUAUCCUCAAAACCACUAGACAACAUGAUAUAACCUUGUGAAGGAAUGAAGAUAGAGAUAAAUAAAUGUGUGAUCCUCUACUGCAUUGUUAAGGGUAGUCAUCACUUUUUUAAUAAUUUAUAGAUAUAGACAGGUAACCUAAUACAUAAAACUGGACCAUGUGAUCUCAAGAGAAAAGUGAGAUAUUGAAAAAUAAGCAAAAAACUGGUGUAUUGUUAAAGUACUCUAGAAAACAAUUUAUUAUCUACUGUUAGAAGUAGGUAUACACCAUGGGCCAUAAAGAAAUGUUACAAAGAAUUUUAUCAUUUACAUCCCAAAACAUUUAUAAUAGAAUUGUCCAAAAUGUAAUAAUUCAAAUCUAGUGGAAAAGAAAUGGGAGACUAUCUAUUAACAUAUCUAAUUAUAGAUUAUUACAUAUAGGCAAUUUUAUAAGCCAGAACUGUGCAUAUCAAAAUAUAUUUGAUUAAAAGACCAAUAUGUUAAGUUAACAAGCAAAGCAUAGAACAUUUAAAGCAUUUUGAAAUCAUUUCAUGUCAAUUAAAAAUACAAAUAUUGGAUAUAUGUUCUAAAACAUAAAACCAGGUACAACUUCAAAAUUUAUUGCAGUUGUUUCUACUGGGGAAUGUCACUGGAGAGCAUAAAAUAAAGUCCAUUUCUUAGUUGUGUA